AGGUGCUCACCUGGUCGGGGAUACCGACUGCCAACAAGUGCCUUAGUGAACCUUUCUCAUGGGAGUCGCUGUGAAACUGGAAACCAGAAGUUGACAGCCAUUGUGAAACCACAGCCAGCUGUACCUACAAAAGGUGAUGAUGAAUUUUGCAACAUUUGGCAAUCUCUACAGGGAUCUGGAAAAAUUCAACACUUGCAGCCAACGGUACAAGAGAAGGGUGCAGUUCUACCUCAAGAAAUAAGUCAAGUAACUGAAUCUCAUAAAUCUGGCUUUAACGACCAUAGUGUCAGACAUCAGCAAAGAAAACAUGACCCUCACCGAAAAUUUAAGGAAGAAUAUAAGAGUCCUAAAGCGGAGUGUCAGAAUCAAAAGUUGUCUAAUAAACAGACUUCCGGAGCGUCUGCCAGAUGUAAUAUUAAACUAUUGAAGAGAAAUGAAAGUCCAGGAACUUCAGAAGCCCAGAAGGUUGUAACCAGUUACCCAAAUGCAGUUCAUAAGCCUCACUCUGGAAUUGAGAGCUUUUUAGCAUCUUUGAAUAUCUCUAAGGAAAGUGAAGUACAAUUACCUCAUGGAGAGCCUCCAGAUGAGGCACAUCUGUCACCGCAGUCCUUUGCUAUGCUACCUAUGAUUGAUUUUUCUAAAAAGAAAGGAACACGGAUGCUUAAAGAAAUUCUGAAAAUUGAUAGCCCUGACACAACAGACAGUA
rnacentral:lncRNA from 1 species